rnacentral:rRNA from 1 species
CCUACGGGAGGCAGCAGUGAGGAAUAUUGGUCAAUGGACGAGAGUCUGAACCAGCCAAGUAGCGUGAAGGAUGACUGCCCUAUGGGUUGUAAACUUCUUUUAUAUGGGAAUAAAACGUUCCACGUGUGGGAUUUUGUAUGUACCAUAUGAAUAAGGAUCGGCUAACUCCGUGCCAGCAGCCGCGGUAAUACGGAGGAUCCGAGCGUUAUCCGGAUUUAUUGGGUUUAAAGGGAGCGUAGGUGGAUUGUUAAGUCAGUUGUGAAAGUUUGCGGCUCAACCGUAACAUUGCAGUUGAAACUGGCAGUCGUGAGUACAGUAGAGGUGGGCGGAAUUCGUGGUGUAGCGGUGAAAUGCUUAGAUGUCACGAAGAACUCCGAUUGCGAAGGCAGCUCACUGGACUGCAACUGACACUGAGGCUCGAAAGUGUGGGUAUCAAACAGGAUUAGAUACCCGAGUAGUC